rnacentral:rRNA from 1 species
AGUAAAAGUCGUAACAAGGUUUCCGUAGGUGAACCUGCGGAAGGAUCAUUAAAGAGUUAUUGUGGGUUUACACCCUAAUACUCCACCCAUUGUUUACAUACCUUUGUUGCUUUGGCAGGCCCGUCCUCGGACCGCCGGCUCUUGCUGGUCAGCGCCUGCCAGAGGACCCAAAACUCUUGUUAAUCAUAUUGUCUGAGUACUAUAUAAUAGUUAAAACUUUCAACAACGGAUCUCUUGGUUCUGGCAUCGAUGAAGAACGCAGCGAAAUGCGAUAAGUAAUGUGAAUUGCAGAAUUCAGUGAAUCAUCGAAUCUUUGAACGCACAUUGCGCCCUCUGGUAUUCCGGGGGGCAUGCCUGUUCGAGCGUCAUUACAACCCUCAAGCUCAGCUUGGUAUUAAGCCUCACCCGUCAGGGCGGGCCGUAAAAUCAGUGGCGGUGCCAUUCGGCUUCAAGCGUAGUAAUUCUUCUCGCUUUGGAGGACCGGGUGCGUGCCUGCCAGCAACCCCAAUUUUAUCAAAGGUUGACCUCGGAUCAGGUAGGGAUACCCGCUGAACUUAAGCAUAUCAAUAAGCGGAGGAA